rnacentral:rRNA from 1 species
GUCGAGCGGCAGCGCGGGGGCAACCCUGGCGGCGAGCGGCGAACGGGUGAGUAUAGAUAGGAACGUGUCCGGGAGUGGGGGAUAACUAGCCGAAAGGUUAGCUAAUACCGCAUAUUCUCUAAGGAGGAAAGCGGGGGAUUCGCAAGAACCUCGCGCUCGCGGAGUGGCCUAUCUCCGAUUAGCUAGUUGGUGAGGUAAAGGCUUACCAAGGCGACGAUCGGUAGCUGGUCUGAGAGGAUGAUCAGCCACACUGGGACUGAGACACGGCCCAGACUCCUACGGGAGGCAGCAGUGGGGAAUUUUUGGACAAUGGGGGCAACCCUGAUCCAGCCAUGCCGCGUGCGGGGAAGAAGGCCUUCGGGGUUGGUAAAACCCGUUUUUAUUCGGAAAGAAGGAGUCAAGGUUAAUACCCUUGAUGACAGACG